UACGUAGGGGGCAAGCGUUGUCCGGAAUUAUUGGGCGUAAAGAGCUCGUAGGCGGUUUGUCACGUCUGCUGUGAAAUCCCGAGGCUCAACCGCGGGCCUGCAGCCGAUACGGGCAGGCUAGAGUUCGGUAGGGGAGACUGGAAUUCCUGGUGUAGCGGUGAAAUGCGCAGAUAUCAGGAGGAACACCGAUGGCGAAGGCAGGUCUCUGGGCCGAUACUGACGCUGAGGAGCGAAAGCGUGGGGAGCGAACAGG
rnacentral:rRNA from 1 species